rnacentral:rRNA from 1 species
UACGAAGGGUGCAAGCGUUACUCGGAAUUACUGGGCGUAAAGCGUGCGUAGGUGGCUUGUUAAGUCUGUUGUGAAAGCCCCGGGCUCAACCUGGGAAUGGCAAUGGAUACUGGCAAGCUAGAGUGCGGUAGAGGGUAGUGGAAUUCCCGGUGUAGCGGUGAAAUGCGUAGAGAUCGGGAGGAACACCAGUGGCGAAGGCGGCUACCUGGACCAGCACUGACACUGAGGCACGAAAGCGUGGGGAGCAAACAGG